GUACCUGCUACGAGAGCUCUCAUCGUACCUCCAGAGCUCUUCUUCCUUCCUUUCUCUAUCUCUCUCUCUUUCUUUCUCUUUAUUGCUUACUUUCCAUUCUUUCUCUCUUCCUGUGCUUUCAUCCUGUACGACGAUUCGUUCAUUUGAAUCUCAGAAUCAGCCCCUGUUCUAAUCAUUCACACCAACCGAUAUUGUAUCGUGGUGCGAAUUUGUUUUGACCGAUCGUCGGUCGAAGGAAGCCACUAGCAAGCAUGUCAUGCUGCCGUUGUUGCUCUCAGCCAACGUCUCGUAGUCAUCGCGAUAUUGUUUGUUAUGUGUAUAUGUGUAUAUAUAUAUAUUAUCAUGUAUAUAUAUAUAUAUACAUAUACAUAUAUCGUGCUCUAUUGUGAGACUAUGUAACAUCGUGUUUGUGUACUUAUAUGUGUGUUCUUACAUGUGUGUGUAUAUCAGUGCGCGUGGUGAAAACGUAUUCGAUAAGGACGUAUGUAGUGAUCACGAAACGGUCCCGAUUGACGAAAUUAAUAUUGAAGCUACAAUUAAAGGCCACCCGCAUUUCUGACCGUCGGCGAGCGACGGACGGAGCAUUGGAAACUUGCAUGCUAACCGUCGCUGUUGCACGACAAUCGCUCACUACGAAAUUUAUGUGCCACACAAACACUAUGAGACUGGUUUACUGAAUGUAGAUUUCAUAUGAGCAGCUGGUUAGGAACCACACUGAUUCAUUCCAUAAAUUGAAAAGUAGAGAAAAGUAAUGAUGAAAUGGAAUUUACAAUUGUUUGUACCAUUCUUUUACGAUAAUCAACUUCGAAAGUAAGUCAUUUAUUCUUGCAGUAGUUUUGGACACUAAUCAUGUACCUACAUAAGAUUGAGCGAUUUGGAGAAAAUGAAACUCUACAGCCACGUGUAAACGUGUAAAAUAUAAGAUCAGGGGUUAACAAUU